rnacentral:rRNA from 1 species
UACAGGCUUAACACAUGCAAGUCGAGGGGCAGCAUGGUCUUAGCUUGCUAAGGCCGAUGGCGACCGGCGCACGGGUGAGUAACACGUAUCCAACCUGCCGUCUACUCUUGGACAGCCUUCUGAAAGGAAGAUUAAUACAAGAUGGCAUCAUGAGUCCGCAUGUUCACAUGAUUAAAGGUAUUCCGGUAGACGAUGGGGAUGCGUUCCAUUAGAUAGUAGGCGGGGUAACGGCCCACCUAGUCUUCGAUGGAUAGGGGUUCUGAGAGGAAGGUCCCCCACAUUGGAACUGAGACACGGUCCAAACUCCUACGGGAGGCAGCAGUGAGGAAUAUUGGUCAAUGGGCGAGAGCCUGAACCAGCCAAGUAGCGUGAAGGAUGACUGCCCUAUGGGUUGUAAACUUCUUUUAUAAAGGAAUAAAGUCGGGUAUGGAUACCCGUUUGCAUGUACUUUAUGAAUAAGGAUCGGCUAACUCCGUGCCAGCAGCCGCGGUAAUACGGAGGAUCCGAGCGUUAUCCGGAUUUAUUGGGUUUAAAGGGAGCGUAGAUGGAUGUUUAAGUCAGUUGUGAAAGUCUGCGGCUCAACCGUAAAAUUGCAGUUGAUACUGGAUAUCUUGAGUGCAGUUGAGGCAGGCGGAAUUCGUGGUGUAGCGGUGAAAUGCUUAGAUAUCACGAAGAACUCCGAUUGCGAAGGCAGCCUGCUAAGCUGCAACUGACAUUGAGGCUCGAAAGUGUGGGUAUCAAACAGGAUUAGAUACCCUGGUAGUCCACACGGUAAACGAUGAAUACUCGCUGUUUGCGAUAUACAGCAAGCGGCCAAGCGAAAGCGUUAAGUAUUCCACCUGGGGAGUACGCCGGCAACGGUGAAACUCAAAGGAAUUGACGGGGGCCCGCACAGGCGGAGGAACAUGUGGUUUAAUUCGAUGAUACGCGAGGAACCUUACCCGGGCUUAAAUUGCAGAUGAAUUACGGUGAAAGCCGUAAGCCGCAAGGCAUCUGUGAAGGUGCUGCAUGGUUGUCGUCAGCUCGUGCCGUGAGGUGUCGGCUUAAGUGCCAUAACGAGCGCAACCCUUGUUGUCAGUUACUAACAGGUUCCGCUGAGGACUCUGACAAGACUGCCAUCGUAAGAUGUGAGGAAGGUGGGGAUGACGUCAAAUCAGCACGGCCCUUACGUCCGGGGCUACACACGUGUUGCAAUGGGGGGUACAGAGGGCCGCUACCACGCGAGUGGAUGCCAAUCCCCAAAACCUCUCUCAGUUCGGACUGGAGUCUGCAACCCGACUCCACGAAACUGGAUUCGCUAGUAAUCGCGCAUCAGCCACGGCGCGGUGAAUACGUUCCCGGGCCUUGUACACACCGCCCGUCAAGCCAUGGGAGCCGGGGGUACCUGAAGUGCGUAACCGCGAGGAGCGCCCUAGGGUAAAACUGGUGACUGGGGCU